AGAGUUUGAUCAUGGCUCAGAAUGAACGUUGGCGGUGCGCCUUAUGCAUGCAAGUCGAACGGGGUUACGGUCUUCGGAUUGUAACCUAGUGGCGAAUGGCUGAGUAACACGUAAGUAACCUGCCUUGGAGUGGGAAAUAACUUGCCGAAAGGCAAGCUAAUGUCCCAUGUGGUAACGAAGCAAAUGCUUGGUUAUUAAAGCCUUAGGGUGCUCCAAGAGGGACUUGCGUCUGAUUAGCUAGUUGGUAGGGUAAUGGCCUACCAAGGCGAUGAUCAGUAGCUGGUCUGAGAGGAUGGUCAGCCAGAUGGGGACUGAGACACGGCCCCAACUCCUACGGGAGGCAGCAGCAAGGAAUCUUGGGCAAUGAGCGAAAGCUUGACCCAGCGACACCGCGUGAGGGAGGAAGGCCUUCGGGUUGUAAACCUCUUUUCUUGGGGAAGAAUUCUGACGGUACCCAAGGAAUAAGCCUCGGCCAACUACGUGCCAGCAGCCGCGGUAAUACGUAGGAGGCGAACGUUAUUCGGAUUUACUGGGCGUAAAGGGAGCGUAGGCGGUUCCUUAAGUCAGAUGUGAAACCUUCUGAUUCAAUCAGAAGGCGUCAUUUGAUACUGAGGGACUUGAGAAUAGCAGAGGGAAAUGGAAUCCCCAGUGUAGCGGUGAAAUGCGUAGAUAUUGGGGAGAACACCAGUGGCGAGGGCGA
rnacentral:rRNA from 1 species